GAUGAACGCUGGCGGCGUGCCUAAUACAUGCAAGUCGAGCGAACGGACGCGAAGCUUGCUUCUCUGAUGUUAGCGGCGGACGGGUGAGUAACACGUGGAUAACCUACCUAUAAGACUGGGAUAACUUCGGGAAACCGGAGCUAAUACUGGAUGAUAUUUUGAACCGCAUGGUUCAAAAGUGAAUGACGGUCUUGCUGUCACUUAUAGAUGGAUCCGCGCUGCAUUAGCUAGUUGGUAAGGUAACGGCUUACCAAGGCAACGAUGCAUAGCCGACCUGAGAGGGUGAUCGGCCACACUGGAACGGGGACACGGUCCCGACUCCUACGGGAGGCAGCAGUAGGGAAUCUUCCGCAAUGGGCGAAAGCCUGGCGGAGCAACGCCGCGUGAGUGAUGAAGGUCUUCGGAUCGUAAAACUCUGUUAUUAGGGAAGAACAUAUGUGUAAGUAGCUGUGCACAUCUUGACGGUACCUAAUCAGAAAGCCACGGCUAACUACGUG
rnacentral:rRNA from 1 species